rnacentral:rRNA from 1 species
AACGCGAAGAACCUUACCUAGACUUGACAUCUCCUGAAUUACCCGUAACUGGGGAAGUUCCUUCGGGAACAGGAAGACAGGUGGUGCAUGGUUGUCGUCAGCUCGUGUCGUGAGAUGUUGGGUUAAGUCCCGCAACGAGCGCAACCCUUAUUGUUAGUUGCUACCAUUUAGUUGAGCACUCUAGCGAGACUGCCCGGGUUAACCGGGAGGAAGGUGGGGAUGACGUCAAAUCAUCAUGCCCCUUAUGUCUAGGGCUACACACGUGCUACAAUGGCAAGUACAACGAGAUGCAAUACCGCGAGGUGGAGCUAAACUUCAAAACUUGUCUCAGUUCGGAUUGUAGGCUGAAACUCGCCUACAUGAAGCUGGAGUUACUAGUAAUCGCGAAUCAGAAUGUCGCGGUGAAUACGUUCCCGGGCCUUGUACACACCGUACGUC